CUUAGUGGUAUUUCGUCUGCUGCUACGUUCUGAGUUCAAAUUCUGCUGGGGUCAACUUUGCCUUUCAUCCUUUUAGGGUCAAUGAAAUAAAAGUCCCAGUCAAGACCGAUCUAAUCAACUAACUCCACUAACCGCUCCCCAACCACUGGCCUCACUGCAUUAUUAUUGUUGUUGCUGUUGUCGUUGUCAUCAUCAUCAUCAUCAUUAUUGAUAAUAAUAUAAAGAAAUAAAUAACUGCUAUCAUUGCAACAACUAUUCUUAUUACUACUACUACUACUACUGCUACUACUCAAUAUUUUUAUAGACAAUUGUAGUUAUUUACUGAAAAUUGUAAAAUAUAAAUAAAAAUAUUUAAUAAGGUGG